CCUGGCUCAGGAUGAACGCUAGCUACAGGCUUAACACAUGCAAGUCGAGGGGCAGCAUGGUCUUAGCUUGCUAAGGCCGAUGGCGACCGGCGCACGGGUGAGUAACGCGUAUCCAACCUGCCUUACACUCUUGGACAGCCUUCUGAAAGGGAGAUUAAUACAAGAUGUUAUCAUGAGUAAGCAUUUUCGCAUGAUUAAAGGUUUACCGGUGUAAGAUGGGGAUGCGUUCCAUUAGAUAGUAGGCGGGGUAACGGCCCACCUAGUCUUCGAUGGAUAGGGGUUCUGAGAGGAAGGUCCCCCACAUUGGAACUGAGACACGGUCCAAACUCCUACGGGAGGCAGCAGUGAGGAAUAUUGGUCAAUGGACGAGAGUCUGAACCAGCCAAGUAGCGUGAAGGAUGAAGGUUCUAUGGAUUGUAAACUUCUUUUAUACGGGAAUAAACGAAUCCACGUGUGGAUUUUUGCAUGUACCGUAUGAAUAAGGAUCGGCUAACUCCGUGCCAGCAGCCGCGGUAAUACGGAGGAUCCGAGCGUUAUCCGGAUUUAUUGGGUUUAAAGGGAGCGUAGAUGGGUUGUUAAGUCAGUUGUGAAAGUUUGCGGCUCAACCGUAAAAUUGCAAUUGAUACUGGCAGUCUUGAGUACAGUUGAGGUAUGCGGAAUUCGUGGUGUAGCGGUGAAAUGCUUAGAUAUCACGAAGAACUCCGAUUGCGAAGGCAGCUUACUAACCUGUAACUGACAUUGAUGCUCGAAAGUGUGGGUAUCAAACAGGAUUAGAUACCCUGGUAGUCCACACGGUAAACGAUGAAUACUCGCUGUAGGCGAUAUACAGUCUGCGGCCAAGCGAAAGCAUUAAGUAUUCCACCUGGGGAGUACGCCGGCAACGGUGAAACUCAAAGGAAUUGACGGGGGCCCGCACAAGCGGAGGAACAUGUGGUUUAAUUCGAUGAUACGCGAGGAACCUUACCCGGGCUUAAAUUGCAACCGAAUAUGGCGGAAACGCUAUAGCUAGCAAUAGCGGUUGUGAAGGUGCUGCAUGGUUGUCGUCAGCUCGUGCCGUGAGGUGUCGGCUUAAGUGCCAUAACGAGCGCAACCCUUGCCGAUAGUUACUAACAGGUUAUGCUGAGGACUCUGUCGGGACUGCCAUCGUAAGAUGUGAGGAAGGUGGGGAUGACGUCAAAUCAGCACGGCCCUUACGUCCGGGGCUACACACGUGUUACAAUGGGGGGUACAGAGGGCUGCUACCACGCAAGUGGAUGCCAAUCCCAAAAACCUCUCUCAGUUCGGAUUGAAGUCUGCAACCCGACUUCAUGAAGCUGGAUUCGCUAGUAAUCGCGCAUCAGCCACGGCGCGGUGAAUACGUUCCCGGGCCUUGUACACACCGCC
rnacentral:rRNA from 1 species